CCUACGGGAGGCUGCAGUGCGGAAUAUUGCACAAUGGGCGCAAGCCUGAUGCAGCCAUGCCGCGUGUGUGAAGAAGGCCUUCGGGUUGUAAAGCACUUUCAGCGGGGAGGAAGGCGGUGAGGUUAAUAACCUCAUCGAUUGACGUUACCCGCAGAAGAAGCACCGGCUAACUCCGUGCCAGCAGCCGCGGUAAUACGGAGGGUGCAAGCGUUAAUCGGAAUUACUGGGCGUAAAGCGCACGCAGGCGGUCUGUCAAGUCGGAUGUGAAAUCCCCGGGCUCAACCUGGGAACUGCAUUCGAAACUGGCAGGCUAGAGUCUUGUAGAGGGGGGUAGAAUUCCAGGUGUAGCGGUGAAAUGCGUAGAGAUCUGGAGGAAUAUCGGUGGCGAAGGCGGCCCCCUGGACAAAGACUGACGCUCAGGUGCGAAAGCGUGGGGAGCAAACAGGAUUAGAUACCCGAGUAGUC
rnacentral:rRNA from 1 species